ACGCUCACACCUACGGGAGGUAGCAGUGGGGAAUAUUGCACAAUGGGGGAAACCCUGAUGCAGCAACGCCGCGUGAAGGAAGAAGGUUUUCGGAUCGUAAACUUCUAUCAAUAGGGAAGAAAGAAAUGACGGUACCUAAAUAAGAAGCCCCGGCUAACUACGUGCCGGCAGCCGCGGUAAUCUGAGCGGGCUGGCAAGGC
rnacentral:rRNA from 1 species